rnacentral:lncRNA from 1 species
GUUGUUGUUGUUGUUGUUAUUGUUGCUAUUUCUUGGGCCGCUCCCUCGGCAUAUGGAGGUUCCCAGGCUAGGGGUUGAGUCAGAGCUGUAGCCACCGGCCUACGCCAGAGCCACAGCAACGCGGAAUCCGAGCCGCGUCUGCAACCUACACCACAGCUCACGGCAACGCCAGAUCGUUAACCCACUGAGCAAGGGCAGGGAUCGAACCCGCAACCUUAUGGUUCCUAGUCGGAUUCGUUAACCACUGCGCCACGACGGGAACUCCUAAUUUUAUAAAUCUUAAUGCCUUUGCUGCUACAACACUGGACCCAGUUGUUAGAGGCAAAGAGGAAAAUCAUCUGUUGAGAAAGAACAAGUGGGUUUUUUUUUUUUUAAAGAGUAAAUAAAAUCUGAUAAGCUUGGAAUAAGGUUGGAAAAACACUGAAUUAUGUAACAGCAACACUCCAUGAACUCUUUCUUGGAUGAGUGGGUUUAUGGAACCACAAGCCAAUAGGCCAAGAGAGCAGGAUGUAGCAGUUUCUUUUACAGGGAGUGAGGAGAAAAAUAUGAGACUCGAACCUCAGGAGAGAUUUUGUAGGUCUAACUUGGUGGAAUAUUGGCAACUUGAUAAGGAUUAGUUCUUAUCCUUAUAACUAUCUGAAUAGUUCUGCUUUCUGUAUGUGGAUAUCAAGCUUCAGUUCUACCCAAAUGUGAGGCAAAAUGUCAUCAUCUUUAGUAAUAUUACCUCCCUAGUAACAGCAAUACUGUGAGAAGUGUUGCGCUGAACUCCGGGAAGAGGAAUUCCAACCACAGUGGAACUUUUAAAGAAACUGGAAUUAUUACAAGAUACUGAAUAUAGUUCCCUGUGCUAUAUAAUAGGUCCUUGUUGUUUAUCUGUUUUAUAUGCAGCAGUGUAUAUAUGUGUUACAAAGCACAUGGGCACUUGAUUGAGAGGCAGUUAACAAUAUUGUGCUUCCCGCCCUGCAGUUCCUUCCCUGACACUUUCCCCAGCCCUUACCAAGGAGCAUUUCUUAGGACCCAGUCUUAGGCCCUCUGCUUUCAUUCCUCCCGGCCCACUUCCAAGAGCUCUUUCCAUUUACAUAACUUCAUCUGACUCCCUACUCCCUAGAGAGCCCUCUCAUCUUGCCUUCUCUUCAGCCCCGUGGGGACAGGUACUUGAUUCCUGCUUAACUUCACCUGUGUGCUACUCCAUUUACUACCCUGUAAAUGUUCCAUUAAGAUCUUUGAAUGUCUAGUCCUUUGUAAAGGUUCUUAGUCAUCUUCAGUUGUGUGCAUGUGUCACCUAACAAGACUGCGAACUCUCUGGAGGUGGGGACAAAAUUCUUAAGAAAAUCUCAUCUAAGAACAGGGUUCAAGGAAGAAGAGAUUGUGUGUAUGUGGAAGUGCACUUGUUAUUACUGACUGGAGAAUGGUGCCUUGUCUGCUCAAGACUCAGAUGUUUGGAAACCUCAAAUUUCUAGGGGCAUGACUAACGGGCAGAAUAUAAGCUGAAAAAACAUAUUAAAGAGACUCUAAGAAACCCAAAUAAUUGUCACACUAUCAAAAAACAAAUACUCAUGAUAUUUCACCUGCAGUUUCUAGUUCCAACUCAUUUCUGCUUACUCUGCUUGGAAAUCAAACAGGUUUGAGUGCUUGUUUCUGCAGUAGAUUAGAAGCAGUAAAAGGGUUAAAUUAAGUAGAUACAAAACAGGAGGGUUAAUAUGGCUAAAUGCAAAGACCCAGCAUCUAAGGCAAAAGCAGCAAAAAAAUCAGACUCUGAUGUGAGAUUUCAAAAGAGGAAUUUGGGGUGAGUUUAGCAAGUUUGUGUGUUUGUGUGUAUGUUGAGACAAACAGUCAUAUUUUUGACAGAAUCUAUGGUAAUAGCUAUAACAAAAUUCAGAAUGAGAGUUUAUCUUCAUACUAAUGAACAUAUUUUCAACAGAAGUUAAAGGUAAACAGCUUUUAGGGUAAGUAGCAAAAUAUAGAUUUUACUCAGGAAAAAAAUUGUAUCCAAGGAUUAUUUAUUUGCUGAUUUAUUUCAGAAGGCUUACUGCUGAAAGCAAUCAUGUUCAAUCAUUCAGAAAGUCAGCUCUUUAGAAUGACUUUCCCCUAAGGACUCUUGAUAAUGAAAAUUCUGCUGUUUAAUGAUUAACUUAGUGUAUGCUUAAUAAAUGCUAUUGAUUAUUACCUAAAUGAUGAAUGUAAAAGAAACUUCUAUGCUAUCUAGCCAGUCUAAUCUUUGGGGAAGAACAUGAAAUUUGAGAAAUUUUAUUUUUAAUUGUGAUGGGGCCAUCGGUUGCAUAGUUAAAGGGGAAUCUAGUGAUAGACUUUAACCCGGGUUUAUAAAUUGUCCCAAUUUUUCUUCCUAUUUGUCUUCAAAAUGGCAAACUGGCAGGUAGGGUACCUCUGAAGAGGGAAUGAGAAACUUAUUUUAAAUGUCUAAACCAAAAGGCAGUGAUCAACUUGGUAGUAUUAUCAAAUAACACCCAAGCAGACCGUGAUAAAGUCCCUGGAAGAUGAUCGAUGAUCAGAAGCAGGAUGUCUGCCAGGGCGUGUUUCUGGGCAGCAGAGGAGCUGUUGCAGCUCCGUCCGGCAGUUUCUCUUCAUGUGUGGCCACCGCAGUGGAGUGGAGGCAGAGAGUGAGCAGGACUCUCACACUUGCACAGAGUAGGCAGUGGAGCCCCAAACAUCGUGGGCAUACAGACUGAGGACACCCGGAGCCCAUGAAGGCUGCUCUUAAAACCUGGUCUUUGCCUGAGCUAAGAAUGACCAUUUGUAAUCAAGUCCCUGAUAUAAAGUAGCAACUGUUCCCAGGCAAUUUUACACACAGUAAGACCAGUAGGCAGCAGGGACGAGUCAGUGGUAUCUGAGAAGCAUAUGAAAAGUGAACAAAGACACUUCUCUCUCUUUUUUUUUUUUUUUUUUUUUUGGUCUUUUUGCUAUUUCUUGGGCCGCUCCCACGGCAUAUGGAGGUUCCCAGGCUAGGGGUCAAAUUGGAGCUGUAGCCACCGGCCUACGCCAGAGCCACAGCAACGCGGAAUCCGAGCCGCGUCUGCAACCUACACCACAGCUCACGGCAACGCCAGAUCGUUAACCCACUGAGCAAGGGCAGGGAUCGAACCCGCAACCUCAUGGUUCCUAGUCGGAUUCGUUAACCACUGCGCCACGACGGGAACUCCAAGACACUUUUCUCAAGCAUCCCUGGUGUUAUGGGUUAAAUCGCGUUCCACCCAAAAGAAAACCAAAAACCAAACCAAACAAACAACAGCAACAACCAAAACUUCAUAUGUUGAAGUCCUGACCUCCGUACUUUAGAAUGUAACCUUGUUCGGAAAUAGAGUCGUUGCAGGUAUAAUUAUGAAGUUAAGAUGAGGUCGUACUAAAGUAGGGUGAGUCCCUAAUUCAAGGGCAGGUGGGUCCCUAAUUCAAGGGCAGGGUCCCUAAUUCUUAUGCAGAGGGGAAGUUUGGACCCAGAGACAGAUGCCCACAGAGAGAGGACCAGGUGACAAGUAAAGUGGAAAUCGGGACGAGGCAUCUAUAAGCCAAGAAACUUCAAAUAUGGCCAGCGGGUCACCAGAAGCCAGGAGAGCGACAUGGGACAGACUUUCCCCCACAACCUUCAGAGGGAAUCACCCUGUUGACAGCUUAAUCAGGGACUUCCAGAACUGUGAGGCAACACAUCUCUGUUGUUCAUGCCAUCCAGCUUGUGGCACUUCAUUCCAGCAGCCCUAGCAAACUAACAGAUCCAUGGAUUCAGUCCUUAGGAAGAAUUAGGAACAAACUGCAAGAACACCACUGCAUAGAAUGUGUAAUGGUUGUUGGAGUUCCUUCUGUGAUGCAAUAGGAUUGACAGUGUCUCUGUAGCACCACGAUGUGGGUUUGAUCCCUGGCCCUGCACAGUGGGUUAAGGGUCAGGCCUUGUGGCAGCUGCACCCUAAAUGACAACUGCGGCUCAAAUCUGAUCCCUGGCCUGGAAACCCUAUCUGCCACAGGAUGGCCAAAAAAAAAAAAAAAGAAUCUGUAAUGGUCAUAUUCCUAUAAUAGAUGGAUGGAUAGAUACAUGGAGAGAAAGAAAAAGAAAUAGAUGGGUUUUCAUUCAUUCUCAUUGUUUUGUUUCUACUCAUAUGUGCUGAUCCACCUACCUGAUCUCCUUCCAUAAUUCAGUUAACUAUGUAGAAAACUGUUCAUCAGUCUGUUCCAUACAGUGGGGUCAGUCAUUCUCAGUGUCUUCUUGCUGUUGCUCUAGUAUGUUCUAGAUAUUGUAAGGCUAUUGCACUCAAGAUUCUGUUGACCUGGGGCUGACCAAUUAAAUGGAGCCUCUCAUGGAGAGGUGCCUCAGUUAUACUCCUGCUGAAGGUGACACAAGUUUGAAAUAGGAAAUUAAACAACUGUCUCUUGCUUUUUUUUUUUUUUAAGGGCCACACCCACGGCAUAUGGAGGUUCCCAGGCUAGGGGUCUAAUUAGAACUACAACUGCCAGCCUACACCACAGCCACAG